rnacentral:snoRNA from 1 species
AAACUGUGAUGUGGGCACUUUCUCAACAAGUCCUUGAAUCUUUCCCAAGCUUCAUACAAGCUUUCUUGAUCAUGAUGAGCA